rnacentral:lncRNA from 1 species
UUGGACGUCUGAUGGACUCCAGUUAAGUGUUUUGGGGUAGAAAGCGUUGCAGGAACUUCUGAGUGCCUCAUGUCAGACAGCAUGCAACAUCUGGUGGAUCCACGUCAGGCCUUUGCCAGGGGAACAAAUCUACAAUGAAACACAGAUUUUGUAUGUAUAUUUGCUGAUUUCUUGACUAAUGCAUACACUUGUAUAACCGAAACCUGUCUCAAGAUAUAGAACAUUCUCGUCACCCAUAAAGUUCCUGUGUGCCCCUUCGCAGUCAGUCCCAGCCCACCCAGAGGCAUCCAACACAUCAAUUGAAUUUCUUGCUCAUCCUUCAGUGAAGACUAUCAAAGAUACGUGGAUAGGAGGUGAUCUUUGAGAAGAAGCAGAAUGAUAUGUUUUCAUCUUGUUAUUCCUGAUUCCCAUUCUCUGGGUUUCUGGUCCCAAGUCAGCAGGGAGUCCUCUACACCUGGAACUGCCCAUUUCUGGAGAGGGGAGGAAACGUCAGGCUUGCUUGUGAAGAGCAUCUCAUCCUGAGUCCAACAGGAGGAAACCAAUCUCUCAGCACUCUCCUCCAAGCCAAGGACAAAUGACGUUCCCAACACACGUGCAUGAAGCCAGGGGGAUUAAUUGUGUAGCGCUGAAGGAAAAUUACAACUUUCCUAAGAAGCUUAAAAUACACAAAUUAAAUCUCGUCUGUGAUUAAAUCCUGGCUACUUCUCAUCCUGGUUUAUGUCUGUGGUUCUUGGGAAAUUAAAAAGUGUUUGCCCAACCACUGACUAUCGAUCAAGUUUUAAAGACUAAGAGGCACGGAGAGCUCUCGGAAAGAAGAACGUGACGUAAGACUGUGGGGUUCACCGAAGAAAGCCAACGUGACACGGUGGUGCUGAAGAGUGGGGAGGUGUUUGUGAAUAAAAGGAGGCCACCCAUCUCUGUAGGCUGAACUGAGCUGAGCUGACAUUGUCACUAAUAAAAUGCUGAGGAAACAUUUUAAUGCAAUAGGCUAUGUUCACUGGGGCUAAAAAUAAAUGCUUUCUGGUAUUCUGUAGUAACACCGAAAAUGACUUCACAGGUGUGAAACGUGGAGAAGAAUUUAGUUGCAUGUCUUGGUUUUUUCAGCCAUAAGCAAAAAGCCUCCCCUUGUGUGGUGUCCUCUCUCGUCAGUGAUGUAACACCCAUACAACGUUGAACAGAACACACGACUGAUCACAUGUUGUUUCAUCAUAAAUGGCCACGUGUUCUGAGAUCAGUGUCUGGG